rnacentral:misc_RNA from 1 species
GAGAGAAGUUGCCAGCGAGGGCGCGGGACCGGCCCGCUGUCUCGCGUUGGAAUCUUCGAGCUUCAGCUUGGGGAGGAUGUCAAAAAUGAUGUAUGC